rnacentral:rRNA from 1 species
AGUGAACGCUGGCGGUAGGCCUAACACAUGCAAGUCGAACGGCAGCACAGUAAGAGCUUGCUCUUACGGGUGGCGAGUGGCGGACGGGUGAGGAAUACAUCGGAAUCUACUUUUUCGUGGGGGAUAACGUAGGGAAACUUACGCUAAUACCGCAUACGACCUACGGGUGAAAGCAGGGGCUCUUCGGACCUUGCGCGAUUGAAUGAGCCGAUGUCGGAUUAGCUAGUUGGCGGGGUAAAGGCCCACCAAGGCGACGAUCCGUAGCUGGUCUGAGAGGAUGAUCAGCCACACUGGAACUGAGACACGGUCCAGACUCCUACGGGAGGCAGCAGUGGGGAAUAUUGGACAAUGGGGGCAAGCCUGAUCCAGCCAUACCGCGUGGGUGAAGAAGGCCUUCGGGUUGUAAAGCCCUUUUGUUGGGAAAGAAAAGCAGCAGGUUAAUACCCCGCUGUUCUGACGGUACCCAAAGAAUAAGCACCGGCUAACUUCGUG